UUGAUGAUUCUUAUUAUAUAUUGAUCAUGGCGCUGUUGUGUAAUGGUUCUUUCAUCGCUGUAUGUAGUAGCUAGCGUCGAGUUUAAAGAAAAGCAUAAAAUAAAAUGGUAAACACAGGAACAAAAGGGCACAACACAAUAUGAAAACCCGCAGAGCCUGACAGCUGCUGAGGCGUGGCUGCCUUUUAAUCCCGGUCUGUGUUACAAACCGGGACUAAAGAUCCUCCUGCUAGGCGUUCCACGGCGGCCACGUGGAGCUGUUUUAGUUCCGGUUCGUAAGAAAACCGGGACUAAAAAUUUGGGCAUUAGUUUCGAUCGUUUUGUCCCCGUUGCAGAACCGGGAUUAAAGGCAGCCACGCAGAGCUAUCUAGAGCUGAAAACUUGGAAAGCCGAAGGCACAACAUUACCCGAAGUGUUUGAGAGCUUCCAGAUGUCUCUUAUGCCCAUGAAUACCUGGGAAUCCCAGUGAAAGGGAUGAGGUAAUGAAUGGUAUUUGCUAGUGAAACUAAGCAAACCCUUUACUAGUGACAUGGGUUGAAGUAUAUGUAAUAUAUACAGGGUAUGUGCAACAUUUGGAAGCUGUGACGUGGGGCAUGCGUUAUAUCAAUGAAUCCUGGCAUACAAGAAAUGUUUAAUGCAACGGUAACUCAUGUGUCAGAUCUGAAAUGUCCGAGUGUUUUGUUGGGGCUGUUAGCUUUAAUCUUGAUUCGUGUAUGAGCAUGUUUAAUUUUAUGUUUGCAUGUACCUUAGCUUAGCAAGUUGUCCUCGGAUGAAGCAUCAGCUGAGCGUGUCAAGGAGACGAGAUGUCGGAGAUGGUCGUGCAAUGUGCACGAAAAAGGCGAGGCGCCGUGCCGCCAUGCGAGACGGCGAGGACGGCAAGAUGGUGAUGGCAGCGAGAGGCUGCACGCUGCGGCCGUGUGAU
rnacentral:lncRNA from 1 species